CAGGGGGCGACACAACACCAACAACGCCACCAAAACUAGUAAUCCUCGAAUUCUUCAUCAUCCCGGAGCUGUACUUCCAUAUUUGAAUGACACAAUCCAGGGUUUCUCUGCCAUUCGGUGGUCGAAUGAGUAAACCAUUGAGCUAGUUAAUAUUAUUGGGUUAUUUAAUCAGGAGUCAUGAUUCUAAGCAGCAGAUCUCUAGAGAGAGUCUUCUCCUUUGUCCUGCUGGCCCUGGUGGUCUUGUCCUGGUCCUAUGUAAUCUACGCUAGCCGGGUCGCUGCCCGCUGGCAGCUGGAGAGCCGGGACCAGGUCUCCCUGUAAUCGGUGACCGGGUCCAGCGCGCACCGUCGAUACGAUCCGGAAGCCUGGGUGUGGGAUGAACCAUCCAGGACUGGAAGGAAAUCUCCGUUCCACCAAAACCCUGCUGAACACUUUACCACAAGAAACACUUUCAUAAACACUUUUGCAUUUGUUUUAAAUAAUACUUAUUUUGGAGAGUUAUUUGAACAAAUGCAAUAAAUAAAGGGGGAAGUGAGA